AUGAGUUACGGGAAUGACAUGCUUAAGUUUGAUUUGGAAGAGCAGACUCUAGCUGUUAUUAAUGGGCCACCGGUUACAGAUCGUCCCCACUGUGGUCAGAUCAUCCAAGCCAAGGCUGAAGAUGGUGCUGUUGGUUUUUCCAUUUUAUCUUACCCGCGCUUACAAAUGUGGCGGGGGAAUAUGAAUAUUCCUGGUGUUGCCACAUGGGUGAUGUGGAAGACCAUUGAAAUAAACAAUAUUCUUGGGCUCCCUAUUCAGGCAAGGUGGAGAGGGUUCGAAACCAUACUGGGAUAUUCGAAGGAUACAUAUGCUAUUUUUAUAUACAUGGACACCAAUUUAUACAUGGUUCAACUUAAAUCAAUGCAAUCCAAGAGACUUCACAAAACAAUUUAUAUCAAUGAUUACCAUCCUUUGACAGGUUUCUAUUCACCAGGUAUUUGCUCAAUCUUAGUAUUUGUAUUGUAG
rnacentral:rRNA from 1 species